rnacentral:rRNA from 1 species
GCUAGCUACAGGCUUAACACAUGCAAGUCGAGGGGCAGCAUGGUCUUAGCUUGCUAAGGCCGAUGGCGACCGGCGCACGGGUGAGUAACACGUAUCCAACCUGCCGUCUACUCUUGGACAGCCUUCUGGAAGGAAGAUUAAUACAAGAUGGCAUCAUGAGUCCGCAUGUUCACAUGAUUAAAGGUAUUCCGGUAGACGAUGGGGAUGCGUUCCAUUAGAUAGUAGGCGGGGUAACGGCCCACCUAGUCUUCGAUGGAUAGGGGUUCUGAGAGGAAGGUCCCCCACAUUGGAACUGAGACACGGUCCAAACUCCUACGGGAGGCAGCAGUGAGGAAUAUUGGUCAAUGGGCGAGAGCCUGAACCAGCCAAGUAGCGUGAAGGAUGACUGCCCUAUGGGUUGUAAACUUCUUUUAUAAAGGAAUAAAGUCGGGUAUGGAUACCCGUUUGCAUGUACUUUAUGAAUAAGGAUCGGCUAACUCCGUGCCAGCAGCCGCGGUAAUACGGAGGAUCCGAGCGUUAUCCGGAUUUAUUGGGUUUAAAGGGAGCGUAGAUGGAUGUUUAAGUCAGUUGUGAAAGUUUGCGGCUCAACCGUAAAAUUGCAGUUGAUACUGGAUAUCUUGAGUGCAGUUGAGGCAGGCGGAAUUCGUGGUGUAGCGGUGAAAUGCUUAGAUAUCACGAAGAACUCCGAUUGCGAAGGCAGCCUGCUAAGCUGCAACUGACAUUGAGGCUCGAAAGUGUGGGUAUCAAACAGGAUUAGAUACCCUGGUAGUCCACACGGUAAACGAUGAAUACUCGCUGUUUGCGAUAUACUGCAAGCGGCCAAGCGAAAGCGUUAAGUAUUCCACCUGGGGAGUACGCCGGCAACGGUGAAACUCAAAGGAAUUGACGGGGGCCCGCACAAGCGGAGGAACAUGUGGUUUAAUUCGAUGAUACGCGAGGAACCUUACCCGGGCUUAAAUUGCAGAUGAAUUACGGUGAAAGCCGUAAGCCGCAAGGCAUCUGUGAAGGUGCUGCAUGGUUGUCGUCAGCUCGUGCCGUGAGGUGUCGGCUUAAGUGCCAUAACGAGCGCAACCCUUGUUGUCAGUUACUAACAGGUUCCGCUGAGGACUCUGACAAGACUGCCAUCGUAAGAUGUGAGGAAGGUGGGGAUGACGUCAAAUCAGCACGGCCCUUACGUCCGGGGCUACACACGUGUUACAAUGGGGGGUACAGAGGGCCGCUACCACGCGAGUGGAUGCCAAUCCCCAAAACCUCUCUCAGUUCGGACUGGAGUCUGCAACCCGACUCCACGAAGCUGGAUUCGCUAGUAAUCGCGCAUCAGCCACGGCGCGGUGAAUACGUUCCCGGGCCUUGUACACACCGCCCGUCAAGCCAUGGGAGCCGGGGGUACCUGAAGUGCGUAACCGCGAGGAGCGCCCUAGGGUAAAACUGG